CUCCAGUUAGAUGUGAUGGAUAGAUCAAACCAUACGUCCUUUAAAUUGGCAUAUCUUGCAAACGGGUUAGAUGGUUCUGAGACAUUUGAAGCCGACCACCAAGUUGUAUUCUUUGUAUCAUUAUCAUAAGCUUUUUGCCCUAGACAAGUUAAUUCUCCUACAGAAGUAUUAUACAUCAUUCCUUUCCUCGCUAUGCAAACAUAACCUAUGAUGGAGGUCUUCAAUCUCCACUCAGAUUUACCUCUAACACUCAUAUGAUAGUCGGCUUGUGUAGAUAUUAAUUGGUCAACUGCCUCAGAACCGGACAUUACCUCCUUUGCUUCCCAAGGCCAUUGGUCUCCCAUGUUAGUACCUCCACACACAUAGCAGUUGGUAACAUUAAGACUACCGGCAAUACUCUCGGCUAAAUCAAUGAACAAGUUUUUAGCAUUAUGGGGGAUCUUAUUAUC